GCGUACGCCAUAUCAGCCUGGGUAUGCCCGAUCUCGUCUGAUCUCGGAAGCUAAGCAGGGUCGGGCCUGGUUAGUACUUGGAUGGGAGACCGCCUGGGAAUACCAGGUGCUGUAAGCA
rnacentral:rRNA from 1 species